CAGUUGGUCCAACUGCCUGGGCAUUUACAGGCAUUUAGGGAGUGAUCCAGUGGAUAGACAUUCUCUCUCUCUCUCUCUCUCAAAUAAAAUUAAGAUUUUUUUAAAAGGAAAAUAGGGGUGAUGUUCUGGCACAGAGGGUUAACCUACCCCCUACAAUGCUGGCAUCCCAUAUGGGCACCAGUUAGAGUCCAGGCUGCUCCACUUCCAAUCCAGAGUUCCAUCAUCCCGACCACACAAUCAUCCAGAACGUCACCUGAAUUCCGUUGCUAACAAGGACCCUCUGUGAGCCGUGUGCCUUCCUCCUGCCUCACUCAGGGGAACCUGAUCUGAAGACCUGGGCUGAGAAGUCCUCGGCUCUGCCCCCUGAACUGUCCCCAGCAUUCACAUUUUAGCACUACCGAAUCUUGGAGGAUGCUGGUCCCCCCAGCAGAAGAAUCUGGACGGACACAGUCACUUGUACAAAGGGAUCCCCAUCUCGCCGGAGGCCUUCGCUGAACCAGUGAGGUUUAAUAAUGACAAAUGCGCGUUGGAUUUGAGGCUACGGUUAAGUGCUUGUUGGGAAUUGGUGGAGGCCCACCCACACACCCAUCUCAUUUGUAACUGACGUCACUGGAAUCCAGACGGCUGGAGAUCUCAAUCCUCACCCUCUCCUCCAGCUCAAGCCCCAGAGAAGAAAAGUGCAGGAGGCUCCUCUCUGUGCGCCUUGAGAACAGGUUCUGGAAAGAGGUUGAGCUGCGUGUCCAUAUGUUAUCGUUCUAAUGAAAACAAUCAGAGACUGGCGAUUAUUAAUCACCGACCUUUAUCAUCCAUUAAAGGGAAGUCUUAUGAAGCAAAAGGCAUAUGUUUUGUUCCUGAAUUCCAGAGAUAAAACCUCCAAAAGGGGCGGGAGAAGUGAACCGAAAACUCCAUCGCAUUAGAAUUUUCAAAAUUGUGUGUAUCUCAUCAACGGCUUCUUUAAUUACGCGCUCAGAUGUCGUCCGAAGUAAAAUACUCCUCUUUAGAUGUGGUUCCCUGAGUGUGUCUCUCCUUUUGUCCUUGUCAUCCUUACAGUGUAACGUGAGUUAUGAGUUCCUGAAAAAACCAAAGUCACUUUAAUCAGUUUUAUAAGUAGUGCUCAGAAAUCAAGAGGCCUCCAAAGAGGAAUUCAGGGAUCACAUUUGAUUGGGCCACUGUGAAGAAACCCAUCCGUAGCAAU